UUAGACUUAAGGGCUAAGCCUUUAUAGGUAAAAAGGCGUAAAGGGUGUGUAGGCCGACAAUUCCCCCCAAGGUGGUAAAUGGAAUUUUUCUGUAACGGUAGAAUGUGUGGAUAGAAAAUAGAACCCCAAAGGCAAAAGCAAUUUACCUCGGGGGAAGGGGGGGUGAAAAUCUGAUAUUCCCAAUCGGGACCUAUCACUCCACCCCCCCCCGAGCACAGGCUGAAACACGAGGGUGUGGGUAACAAACAGGAUUAGAGACCCUGGUAGUCCACACUGUAAACGAUGAAGAAAAUGUUAAUGCAACCCCGAAAGGUAGUAAUCUUCCGCCUGAGUAGUACGAUCGCAAGAUUAAAAUUCAAAAAAUUUGGCUGUUCACUGUUUCGAUUAGAGGAGCGUGUAGUUUAAUUCGAUAAACCGCGAGAUACCUUACCCAAACUUGAAUCACCCAUCCGAGAUUGAAUGGUCUCGGGAGGGUAGACCGGUAUUGCAUGGCCGUCGUCAGUUCGUGUAUGAAACCUUUAACGGACCUAACCCGGGGGGUUAGCCGCGGAUGAAGUCAGGUCUUAUGAUCCCAAUGUUUGGGGAUAAUAUGCGCUACAUUUUCUUAUACAAUGGGAAACCUGAAAGGUGAAACCCCAAAGUAGGAGUUCGGUAGGUCAUUGUAAGAUGACCGAAAG
rnacentral:rRNA from 1 species